GUGCUGAAUUAUUCGCCAAUGCGCGAAAGCGUGACGGUGCGACGCCGCGUGCGGGACGAAGGCCUUCGGGUUGUAAACCGCUGUCAGGGUAUAGAAAACCUUUCGGGUUAAUAGUCCGAAAGCUGAUCAUACCCAAAGGAAGCACAGGCUAACCUCGUGCCAGCAGCCGCGGUAAUACGAGGUGUGCGAGCGUUGUUCGGAAUCACUGGGCAUAAAGGGUGCGUAGGCGGUGCGCCAAGUCAGGUGUGAAAUCCCUCGGCUUAACCGGGGAAUUGCAUUUGAUACUAGCGUGCUAGAGGGUAAAAGGGGCAAGCGGAAUUCUAGGUGUAGCGGUGGAAUGCGUAGAUAUCUGGGAGAACGCCGAGGGCGAAGGCAGCUUGCUGGGUUACUUCUGACGCUGAGGCACGAAAGCUAGGGGAGCAAACAGGAUUAGAUACCCUAGUAGUCC
rnacentral:rRNA from 1 species